CUGUCUGUCGGUCGGUCGUUCGCUCAUUCCUUCAUUGAAUGAGUCUGGUGCGUCCGUGUAAGUGAAUUCGUGAUUUCGUGCAAUGGUGCGUGCAUCAGUGGGUAUGUAACGAAAAUUUACGUCUGUCUGUCUGGAUGGCUGGCCCGCUUAGAUGCGUUAUGCGUCGCGUCGUAUCGUUAAUGUUUGUGAUUAUUAUUGAUAAUGAAAGAUAAUGAUAAUGUAUGUAUGGCCAGCUGUGUGUGUCUGUAUGUGAUUGAGUCGUGUGUGUGCGUGUGUGUGUACGUUUGUCUGGAGUGUUUAUUAUUUAUCUAUACUACCAACAUGUGAAAUAUUUAUACCAAUCAGGGGAAAUGAUUAUUAAUCUCCUAUCAGUAACCAAAAAAAAAAAUUGUUAGAAUUUCCCCCCAAAAAAAAAAAACACAAAACGUCGACAAAUACCCCAAAAUAAACGACCAAUAAAUUAAGGCAACAAUUUUCAAGAAUAAAUUUCUUCUUCCCAACGUGGAAGGCACCUUUAAGUUUAUUGAACUUUGGAGGAUGUGUGAAAAAUCGACAAAUUCUUUCAAUACUAAAAAAAAAUAAAUUAUUUGUUGUACCCCCAAAACAAAAAGUGUCCAUGUCCAUCAAAAAUGUUUGUGAAAAAUAUUGCCAAGAAAAUUUUGUUGUGGAAAAAUGAAUAGCUAGCUGGCUGGGACUGACUGACUGGCUGGCUCUCUGUGCGAUUUUUGUUGAUUGCAAAAAUUAGUCGUUUUACUGGUUUUGAAGCGAAUGGAAUGGAAAUAAGCGAAAAAAAACAUAUAAACAAAAUUAAAAAAUAAUAAAAAUAGAUACCUCAACUCAAUUGCAAUAUUGAGAGGUGUUGCGUUGAAAAUAAAACGAAAAAAGAAAAAAAUUACCCACAAAAGUUACAUGCUCUACGUUUUGCCAGCGAAAUUCUUUAAAAUCGAACAACAAACAUCCCGACAGAAGGGCAUGAGCUACGGUGACAAACAUGUGUGACAAGUGAGUGAGUCGUGAGUGUUUUCUUCAACCAAAAAAAGGAAUGAAAUAAAAAUUAAAUAAAAAACAACAAAUUCUAAAAAAACGACUAAAAUGUGAAAACUUUGUUGUAAAUAAAAUAAAAAAUUAAAAAAAAAUAUUUAAAAUAUAUACACAACAAUUCUCAAACCUUAACGAGAGCUGCUGGUCGGUGUCUACAAAAGGUUUGAUGCACAAGAAAGAAAGUCAAUAGAAAAAAA
rnacentral:sRNA from 1 species